AGCAGCCGCUGUAAUUCCAGCUCCAAUAGCGUAUAUUAAAGUUGUUGCAGUUAAAAAGCUCGUAGUUGAAUUUCGGGGUCAGUAGUCUGGUCACGCCUCGGGUAUGUACUGGGCUCACUGAUUCCUCCCUCCUGAUGAACCGUAAUGCCAUUAAUUUGGUGUUGCGGGGAAUCUGGACUGUUACUUUGAAAAAAUUAGAGUGUUUAAAGCAGGCUUACGCUUGAAUACAUUAGCAUGGAAUAACGAAAUAGGACGUUGAUCCUAUUUUGUUGGUUUCUAGGAUUGACGUAAUGAUUAAUAGGGAUAGUUGGGGGCAUUAGUAUUCAAUUGUCAGAGGUGAAAUUCUUGGAUUUAUUGAAGACUAACUACUGCGAAAGCAUUUGCCAAGGAUGUUUUCAUUAAUCAAGAACGAAAGUUAGGGGAUCGAAGACGAUCAGAUACCGUCGUAGUCUUAACCAUAAAUUAUGCCGACUAGGGAUCGGAUGAUGUUAAUUUUUUAAUGACUCAUUCGGCGCCUUAAC
rnacentral:rRNA from 1 species